CUAAUUUAUGUUGUUCAGUCAUUUCUCAUCUCUCCUCCCUCCCCCAUUCUUUACGUCCUUUCGGUAGAGCUGACUCUACCCCAGCACUGUGGCUUACGCUGGAUCGACCAGAGUGUUGCUUUCUUCAUAUGGUCUAUUGAGACAAUAAAACCUCAGCCGAAAUUGUUGGAAGAGACCCAUCACAUCCCUCAUUGCUACCUGGGGACAGAGAGUGGAAUAAAAGUUGGUCCUGCUGCAGCAACUUGCAUCAAUGAAGAGAGAGUCAAACUAAGAAGAGCUGUUAAAUCAAGUGAGGAGGAAAACCUUGAGACCCUGAGACUUUCAGAAACUUCUUCACAGUUACCAAAGCUGAAAAUGUUCAUGGCAGGGAGUGGGACAUCCGGCUUCAGAGCAGGAACUUUCGUUGCACCAGUGAUGAAAAAGAGAAUGAAAUGUGGGUGAUGUUGAGAAAGGCAAGAAGAUUUUUGUUCAGAAGUGUGCCCAGUGCCUAAAAGAGAGGCAAGCACAAGACUGGGCCUAAUCUCCAUGGUCUCUUUGGGCUGAAGACUGGUCAGGCCAUUGGAUUCUCUUACAAAGACGCCAGUAAGAACAAAGGGAUCACCUGGGGAGAGGAUACAGUGAUGGAGCAUUUGCAGAAUCCCAAGAACUACAUCCCUGGAACAAAAAUGAUCUUUGCUGGCAUUAAGAAGAAGGCAGAAAGGGCAGACUUGAUAGCUUAUCUCAAAAAAAGCUACUCAUGAGUAAUAAUUGGCCACUGCCUUAUUUAUUACAAAACAGAAAUAUCUCAUGACUUUUCUGUGUGUACCAUACUUUAAUAGAUCUCAUACACCAGAAUUCAGAUCAUGAAUGACUGACAGAAUAUUUUACUGGGCACUCCUGAUUUAAAACUAAGACUGGCUUGUGGUUAAAUGAAUAUGUUCAGUUUUUGAAUUUUAAUAGUAAUUCCAAUUCAGUAAAUGCUGUCACUGUUUACCCCUUCUAAAGAUAUGAUUAGACUUCACUGGUAAUGUUCAACUUUUCACAAAGAUGGUGACUGCCAUCUUAAAACUUACUGGAUAUUGGUUUAUAUUUAGAUUUCUAUAACUGGUUAUGUGAAUAUAUUUAAAUACUGGGGAAAUUCCUUCACUGUCUCAGAACCAAGCAAGAUUCAUCUGUGUUUUGUGUUCAUUUGCCUCUUAAAGGCAAGGGUUGAAGAUAAAUAAGGUAGCAAUGUCUACUUUAAAUUUUUGGCCUUAACUAUGCCAAUCUAAUUAGAAUUCUCUGCAUUUAAAAUGGUUCUUUUUACUUACUGAAGGGCAUUUUAGUGUGGUUUAUGUGUAAUAUCAAAGAUUAUUUAACAUUUCUCACAUUUUAUAGAUGAUCUAUAAGGUCACAUGCUUUUAAUAUAGUAACAAGUUAAACUUCACUCUUGAAUUCUUUACAAUCUAAGUCAAACUAAGUUAUAAUUUAAGAUUGUCUUUAAACAGCCAUUCAGAUACAUAAAACUGUGGAACUGCUCUGUAUUUGUGAUUGUGGAUAGUGCUUUUGCCAGCUUAAAAGAAUUAAAGUAGAGGAGAUGUACAUAAGUUUUAAAAUUAUGUGUGAUCGUAAGACUUAAGAUAAUUAAAAAGAAAUUCACAGAUCAUGACAAAAACAUGUUCAUGGCAAAGAAAAGACAUAUUCUAAGUAGAUUAAUAAUUACAGAUGUGUCAAAUAUACAGUUCUAGGAUUUAUGAUGUAGUCAUUAAGUUCAUCAAAUACUAUAAUGAAAUAUGUAAUUUAAUUUAAAUAAUAUUUAGAAAUUAUAUCCAUAUAUUCAGCAAGUAAUUAUUAAGUGUAUUUAUGUGCCAGAUACCAUUCUAGGUGCCUGGGAUGCAUCAGUGAACAGAAUACAUCUAGUGCUGCAUGAGGGAGCUUCCUUUUUAGCGAAGGAGGACAUUAGACACAGAUGUAUAAAUGAGUCAUUGAACAAGAUAAUUGCAGGCAGAGAUGGAUUCUAUGAAAGAAAUAAAUCAGGGUGAUGAGAGGGAAAGUGACAGAGAGACAGCUUUAGGUUGGAGGCUAAAGUGAGGCCUUUGAAGAAAUGACAAUUCAUGUGUGACUUGAAUGACAAGAUAAAAUGUAGAGAGUUAGAGGCUGAGGAUUACAGGCCAAGGAAAUAGCCCCGUGCGUAUGUUGUGAGACAUAGCUCCAAGACAUAGACAUGCAUAGUUUAAUUCAACUUGACUCUUCCAGAAAUGAAUUGAAGGUCACUAGGCCUGGAGUAUCAGGAAGCAGAGGAGAAGUUGUGAGAGAAGAGUUUGAAGUGAGAUGCCUGUGUCAUUUAAUGAAGCAAAUCACAUGAAAAAUAUCACUGGCAUUUUUUAUUAUACGACUUAUUUAAAAAUAGCAAUAAAAUUUACUUCCUACUUUAUCCUAAGGUUCUGAAGACCUUUCAAUGGUAUUCUUGGAGGAGACUUUACAAUUUUGGUGUGUAUCAUGAUUGUAAAGAUACCCUGAUAUCUUUAUAAAAUAGAAGUAAAUUUAGAAAUUAAAAAAAAACAAAACUUUCC
ensembl:lincRNA